GACGAACGCUGGCGGCGUGCUUAACACAUGCAAGUGGAGCGACGAACCAGGGCUUGCCCUGGGGCAAAGCCGCGAACGGGUGAGUAACACGUGGGUAACCUGCCCUGAUGAUUGGGACAACCUCGGGAAACCGAGGCUAAUACCAAAUGUGCUCGCACCCCAUAAGGGGAGUGAGGAAAGGAAGCUUCGGCCUCCGCAUCGGGAUGGGCCCGCGGCCCAUUAGCUUGUUGGUGAGGUAACGGCUCACCAAGGCUUCGAUGGGUAGCUGGUCUGAGAGGACGAUCAGCCACACUGGGACUGAGACACGGGCCCAGACUCCUACGGGAGGCAGCAGUGGGGAAUCUUUGCGCAAUGCGCGAAAGCGUGACGCAGCAACGCCGCGUGCGGGAAGAC
rnacentral:rRNA from 1 species